CAUGUUUGGCCAAUGGAGAUGAGCAGCAAAGUGCCUGUUGGAAAGUUUAGGUUUCACGAGAUCCCCGGUUUGAAUCUUUAUGUGGAACUCUUGACACAAAUGGCCGAUUAAUGAGCUUAGAGAAGGGUUGGGAGACAUGUUCAAGUGUUUCUCAUUAGGGAUGGAAGGACAAAAUGGAUCUGAGUAUGCAGUCACUUAUGAAGAUAAAGAUGGAGAUUGGAUGUUGGUUGGAGAUGUUCCAUGGGGGAUGUUCAUCUCCUC